rnacentral:rRNA from 1 species
GGAAGGGCACCACCAGGGGUGGAGCUUGCGGCUUAAUUUGACUCAACACGGGGAAACUUACCCGGCCCGGACACCGGAAGGAUUGACAGAUUAAGAGCUCUUUCUUGAUUCGGUGGGUGGUGGUGCAUGGCCGUUCUUAGUUGGUGGAGUGAUUUGUCUGGUUAAUUCCGAUAACGAACGAGACUCUAGCCUAUUAAAUAGACGUUCGAUCACUUUUGUGUUGAACGGUCUUCUUAGAGGGACAGGCGGCUUUUAGCCGCAUGAGAAAGAGCAAUAACAGGUCUGUGAUGCCCUUAGAUGUCCGGGGCCGCACGCGUGCUACACUGAAGGAAUCAGCGUGUUUUUACCUAAUCCGAAAGGACGGGGUAAUCCGUUGAAACUCCUUCGUGCUUGGGAUAGGGGCUUGUAACUAUUCCCCUUGAACGAGGAAUCCCCAGUAAGCGCGAGUCAUCAACUCGCGUUGAUUACGUCCCUGCCCUUUGUACACACCGCCCGUCGCUACUACCGAUUGAGAGAUUUAGCGAGGACUUCAGACUGGUACACCGGAUAGCCUUUCGGCUCUCCUGUCGUGCUGGGAAGAUGCCCGAACUUGAUUUCUUAGAGGAAGUAAAAGUCGUAACACGGUUGCC